UACGGGGGGAGCAAGCGUUGUUCGGAUUUACUGGGCGUAAAGGGCGCGUAGGCGGUCAGCACAAGUCAGACGUGAAAUCCCUCGGCUCAACCGGGGAACUGCGUCUGAUACUGGGUGGCUUGAGUUCGGGAGAGGGAUGCGGAAUUCCAGGUGUAGCGGUGAAAUGCGUAGAUAUCUGGAGGAACACCGGUGGCGAAGGCGGCAUCCUGGACCGACACUGACACUGAGGAGCGAAAGCCAGGGGAGCAAACGGG
rnacentral:rRNA from 1 species